UUAGUGGCGGACGGGUGAGUAACGCGUGAACAAGUCUGCCCUGUACAAAGGAAUAGCCUCGGGGAAACUGGGAUUAAAAACCAGUAUAACACUUUAGUACCGCAUGGGUACAGAAGUCAAAUUGAUUAAGAGGUAUAGGAUGAGUUCGCGUCUGAUUAGCUAGUUGGUAAGGUAACGGCUUACCAAGGCGACGAUCAGUAGCCGGGCCUGAGAGGGUGAACGGCCACACUGGAACUGAGACACGGUCCAGACUCCUACGGGAGGCAGCAGUGGGGAAUAUUGCACAAUGGAGGAAACUCUGAUUGCAGCGACGCCGCGUGAGUGAAGAAGGUCUUCGGAUCGUAAAACUCUGUCCUUGGUGAAGAUAAUGACGGUAGCCAAGGAGGAAGCCCCGGCUAACUACGUGCCAGCCGCCGC
rnacentral:rRNA from 1 species